ensembl:lncRNA
CUGCGGCCCAGUUGAUGUGGGUGGGGCAUAAUCCUGUUUGUCACUUGAGUUCCAUAAACCUGCUUAGACCGUUACGGAAUGAAAAUGAGUAUCUCGUGCUCUAUCACUCUCAAACACCACUAAGUAGACAUAGAGGAAAUCGGAUUCCCACACACACCAGUUAUGCCGUCUUAUUAAGGCAUGGGGAGCCCUGAGGAUGACCUGACUCUGAGAGCAGCUUUGUAUGGAAUGCUGUUCCACAUCCAGGCAGACAGCUCAGACUGGAAGGGAGCUCUGAAUCUGCUGAAGCAUGCUAUCCCCACACAAGAAACAGGUUGCUCCUGUUAAAGCACUGGGUGCUGGUGAGGGCCUGGCUAGGGGAGAGCGUUCUGCUAGACAUGCCGAAGUUCAGGGAUGAAGGGGAACUCAGUGCCACAUGUGGGAGCAAUGGAGUUGCACUGUGUGCUGGGGAAAUACUAAAGCAGCUGGCCAGCUACCAGAACUCCAUAAUCUCCCUACUGAAAAGACUGGUGCCCAAGAGAUGCAAACUGAAAGAACCGCAGAGGAGAGAAUUCCCAAGGAGGUUAUUUCCUUGUCCCAUCGUACUCUAGCAACUCCUUGUGGCGGGCCGGGCGCCUGCAAGCUGACUUCGAGCGCAAGUUGGACAGUGAUUUCUCCGAAACAUUGGUGUGGCUGGCUCCCGGGUUAAGUGAGCAGUGUGGCUUGGCAGGGUUGUGUUUUGGAGGAUGCAUGGCUCUCGACCUUCGCCUCUCCCGAGUCUGUAGGGGAGUUGCAGCGAUGGGACAAGACUGUAAUUGGAUAUUGUGAAAUAUUA